rnacentral:misc_RNA from 1 species
GUGGCGACGUGGCUGGUGGUGGCGGUGGGAGUUUCUCUGUUAGGAUUGUAUUUGAAAGGCGGUGAUUUGAAUCAGUGGAGGAGAAUGAGGAGGAAGAAGAAGAUACGCGUGUACAUGGACGGCUGCUUUGACAUGAUGCACUACGGCCACUGCAACGCUCUCCGGCAAGCUCGCGCUCUUGGGGAUGAAUUGGUGGUGGGUGUCGUGAGCGAUGCCGAAAUCAUAGCUAACAAAGGUCCUCCUGUUACCCCUCUCCACGAGAGAAUGAUCAUGGUUAAGGCCGUCAAGUGGGUGGACGAGGUGAUUCCGGACGCGCCGUAUGCAAUCACAGAAGGAUUCAUGAAGAAGCUGUUCGAAGAAUAUAAUAUCGAUUAUAUCAUCCACGGGGAUGACCCUUGUGUUCUUCCCGAUGGAACCGAUGCCUAUGCCCUUGCUAAGAAGGCUGGCCGCUACAAGCAGAUUAAGCGCACCGAAGGAGUCUCAAGCACCGAUAUAGUUGGUCGAAUGUUACUUUGUACGCGAGAGAGAUCAAUUAGUGAUAGUCACAAUCACUCAUCUUUGCAAAGGCAGUUCAGCCAUGGUCAUAGCCCGAGAUUUGAAGACGGUGGAUCUGGAACUGGAGCUGGUACUCGCGUUUCUCAUUUUCUUCCUACUUCUCGCAGAAUUGUUCAAUUCUCCAAUGGCAAGGGGCCAGGUCCUGAUGCUCGCAUAGUUUAUAUCGACGGUGCUUUUGAUCUUUUUCAUGCUGGACAUGUUGAGAUUCUGAGGGUUGCUCGGGGGCUUGGAGAUUUUCUUCUUGUUGGAAUACACAGUGAUCAGACUGUCAGUGCUAAAAGAGGAGUGCAUCGCCCUAUCAUGAAUCUUCAUGAAAGAAGUUUAAGUGUUUUGGCUUGUCGAUAUGUGGAUGAGGUGAUAAUUGGUGCUCCAAGUGAAGUAUCCAAAGACAUGAUAACAACCUUUAACAUCUCUUUGGUAGUACAUGGAACAGUAGCAGAGAAUGUCGAGUAUGAGAAGGAACAAUGCAAUCCAUAUGCUGUUCCAAUUAGGAUGGGCAUCUUCAAGGUUUUGGGAAGCCCUCUGGAUAUUACUACUACCACGAUAAUUAGGAGGAUUGUGGCAAAUCAUGAAGCAUACCAGAAACGUAAUGAGAAGAAG